rnacentral:lncRNA from 1 species
AAAAUUUUGCUGUUUUUGGUUAUUAUCUUGAAUAUUAUUAUAGAUAGAGAUAAACUGUAAACAGCAAUAAUGUUCAGCAAAGUAAGAUUUACAAAUAAGUCAACAUGACCGAAAAUGGUCAGUUGACCCCUUUAGGAGUUAUUGCCCUUUAUAGUCAAUUUUUAACCAUUUUUCGUAAAUCUUAGUAAUCUUUUACAAAAAUCUUCUCCUCUGAAACUACUGGGACAAAUUUAACCAAACUUGGCCAUAAUCAAUAUUGGGGUAUCUAGUUUAAAAAAUGUGUCCGGUGACCCAGUCAACCAACCAAGAUGGCCGCCAUGGCUAAAAAUAGAACAUAGGGG